rnacentral:rRNA from 1 species
UACGUAGGUGGCAAGCGUUAUCCGGAAUUAUUGGGCGUAAAGCGCGCGUAGGCGGUUUUUUAAGUCUGAUGUGAAAGCCCACGGCUCAACCGUGGAGGAUCAUUGGAAACUGGAAAACUUGAGUGCAGAAGAGGAAAGUGGAAUUCCAUGUGUAGCGGUGAAAUGCGCAGAGAUAUGGAGGAACACCAGUGGCGAAGGCGACUUUCUGGUCUGUAACUGACGCUGAUGUGCGAAAGCGUGGGGAUCAA